rnacentral:rRNA from 1 species
AGUGAACGCUGGCGGUAGGCCUAACACAUGCAAGUCGAACGGCAGCACAGUAAGAGCUUGCUCUUACGGGUGGCGAGUGGCGGACGGGUGAGGAAUACAUCGGAAUCUACUUUUUCGUGGGGGAUAACGUAGGGAAACUUACGCUAAUACCGCAUACGACCUACGGGUGAAAGCAGGGGAUCUUCGGACCUUGCGCGAUUGAAUGAGCCGAUGUCGGAUUAGCUAGUUGGCGGGGUAAAGGCCCACCAAGGCGACGAUCCGUAGCUGGUCUGAGAGGAUGAUCAGCCACACUGGAACUGAGACACGGUCCAGACUCCUACGGGAGGCAGCAGCGGGGAAUAUUGGACAAUGGGCGAAAGCCUGAUCCAGCCAUACCGCGUGGGUGAAGAAGGCCUUCGGGUUGUAAAGCCCUUUUGUUGGGAAGGAAAAGCAGCAGGUUAAUACCCCGCUGUUCUGACGGUACCCAAAGAAUAAGCACCGGCUAACUUCGUG